AACGAACGCUGGCGGCAGGCCUAACACAUGCAAGUCGAGCGCCCUUUCGGGGGAGCGGCGGACGGGUGUGUAACGCGUGGGAAUAUGCCCUUCUCUACGGAAUAGCCUCGGGAAACUGAGAGUAAUACCGUAUACGCCCUUUGGGGGAAAGAUUUAUCGGGGAAGGAUUAGCCCGCGUUGGAUUAGGUAGUUGGUGGGGUAAUGGCCUACCAAGCCGACGAUCCAUAGCUGGUUUGAGAGGAUGAUCAGCCACACUGGGACUGAGACACGGCCCAGACUCCUACGGGAGGCAGCAGUGGGGAAUCUUAGACAAUGGGGGCAACCAUGAUCUAGCCAUGCCGCGUGAGUGAUGAAGGCCUUAGGGUUGUAAAGCUCUUUCAGCUGGGAAGAUAAUGACGGUACCAGCAGAAGAAGCCCCGGCUAACUCCGUG
rnacentral:rRNA from 1 species